rnacentral:rRNA from 1 species
GUACACUCCUACGGGAGGCAGCAGUGGGGAAUAUUGCACAAUGGGCGCAAGCCUGAUGCAGCCAUGCCGCGUGUAUGAAGAAGGCCUUCGGGUUGUAAAGUACUUUCAGCGGGGAGGAAGGCAAUACGGUUAAUAACCGUGUUGAUUGACGUUACCCGCAGAAGAAGCACCGGCUAACUCCGUGCCAGCAGCCGCGGUAAUACGGAGGGUGCAAGCGUUAAUCGGAAUUACUGGGCGUAAAGCGCACGCAGGCGGUCUGUCAAGUCGGAUGUGAAAUCCCCGGGCUCAACCUGGGAACUGCAUUCGAAACUGGCAGGCUUGAGUCUUGUAGAGGGGGGUAGAAUUCCAGGUGUAGCGGUGAAAUGCGUAGAGAUCUGGAGGAAUACCGGUGGCGAAGGCGGCCCCCUGGACAAAGACUGACGCUUAGGUGCGAAAGCGUGGGGAGCAAACAGGAUUAGAAACCCGUGUAGUCCCAUG